AUUAUUUGUUGGAAUUUUAGUCCUGCCAGGCUGCCAUAACUUUAGUGGUGAGCGGUGCAUCGUGGUCUCUGUGCAGCUCGUGCAGCUCGUGCAGAGGUGGCAGGUCACGUGACCUAGAGGCGUCAGUGCAACGCCAAGAUACAACCGUCUGUCACAAGACCACCAAAAUGUGUCCCACAUCUGUUACAGAUCUCCCUCUCUCCAUCUACACAACAGCCAUGAAGACGUCGGAGUCAGGACACGUGACUUGCAGCUGAAUAAGAUCUACCUCUCCUCAUCUACACACGGACAGCCAUCAAGACGUCGGAGUAAUGACACCUGAUAUGCAUCUGAAUCAGGAAGACAAGGGACUGGAGGAAGUCAAGUAUCACAUCAAAGGCUUGAUGUUGUUUAUCAUCAAUGUUUUUCAGGAAGUCUUCUUUGAGCCAAGUUCAGUAACAAGAACAACGAUGGAUUAUUUUUGGGUUUGGAUUUUCAAGAAUCAAGAGUAAAAAUCUGGAUUACAUUACUUUGUACAAACAGACUGUUAACUCAUGACAAAUUUCUGUUUU
rnacentral:lncRNA from 1 species